rnacentral:rRNA from 1 species
GUCCGCCUACGGGAGGCAGCAGUGAGGAAUAUUGGUCAAUGGGCGCAAGCCUGAACCAGCCAAGUCGCGUGAGGGAUGACGGUCCUAUGGAUUGUAAACCUCUUUUGUCGGGGAGCAAGGCCCGCCACGUGUGGCGGGAAGGAGAGUACCCGAAGAAAAAGCAUCGGCUAACUCCGUGCCAGCAGCCGCGGGAAUACGGAGGAUGCGAGCGUUAUCCGGAUUUAUUGGGUUUUAAGGGUGCGUAGGCGGAAGGUUAAGUCCGCGGUCGAAUGUCGG